CCUACGGGGAGCUGCAGUCGAGAAUCAUUCACAAUGGGGGAAACCCUGAUGGUGCGACGCCGCGUGGGGGAAUGAAGGUCUUCGGAUUGUAAACCCCUGUCAUGUGGGAGCAAAUUAAAAAGAUAGUACCACAAGAGGAAGAGACGGCUAACUCUGUGCCAGCAGCCGCGGUAAUACAGAGGUCUCAAGCGUUGUUCGGAAUCACUGGGCGUAAAGCGCUCGUAGGCGGUAUGUCAAGUCAAGGGUGAAAUCCCCGCGCUCAACGUGGGAACUGCCUUUGAAACUGGCAAACUGGAGUGUGUGAGAGGAUAGUGGAAUUCCAGGUGUAGGAGUGAAAUCCGUAGAUAUCACGCAGAACUCCGAUUGCGAAGGCAGCUUACUAAGCCAUAACUGACACUGAAGCACGAAAGCGUGGGGAUCAAACAGGAUUAGAUACCCGUGUAGUC
rnacentral:rRNA from 1 species